GCAUCAGCGGCCUGUCAACACUGUCGGGAAUCAUAAAAGGUGUUCGGAAAAAGAAAACCAAAAGAACAGAACAAAAAGAGAGAGAGAGAGAUAGAAAAAAAAGAACAUCAAUAACUUAGAGUGAGUGCUAUCAUAAAUUAAAGUCAUCUAAUAAAAGGAAAUCUCUUCACCCGGUGACAACCCUCCGGAGCCGAGCGGCCGCUUUCUGUUCUUCAUUGACACAUCAAUGUGACUUUGAAACUGAAACUCGGAGGCUCAACAAAGAGGGAAACCCGAAGGCGGCAAAAGGCACAGAAUCCGAAACAUCAUUCUAGAUCCAGAGAAUGGUUAUCGCAGUUCUUUGUCACCCUCGAAAAAUGGUAGUGUGCAAAAAAAAAAAAUCUCUGACGAGCGAAGCAACAUCAAAAAGUGCGACUUGACCGGUUCCUGUGCAACGAUUCGGUUUGUUUGCUUUGAAUUUUCACCGAUGGUGAAGAUGACGAAAUCCGGGUUCCAUGCCUGGCUAGCUCACGGAGUGCUUUGAUGUGGUUGCGAAUAUCAUUUUUCGCUUCGUUUGCUAUGAAGGGGAUGCUCGGAGCCGGCGAGUAGCGUGCAUUUAGGGUAAAGUAGAACGUCGUUUUUUUUUGCUAUCUCACAUUAUUUUCUUUUCACUAGCAAUAACCGUAAA